GACAAAGCGCACGAUGUGUGGGUUAGAGCGAGCGUGUGGUCCGUCCGUUGCGUGUUGGGAUCGAGGGUGAAAGGGGAACUAGGUGACGGGGAGGGAGGAGGGGCGAGCAGUGGUCCCGGAGCGACGGCGGAUGAGGAGGCGGUGGUAACGACGAAGGGGUGGAGCUGAGGGGAGAGAGGCAACAAAUAGGCCAGCAGCCGCCGCGGACCAAGGCCUAGACCGCGUUCAAUCCGGGCCACCACCCCGCUGCCCCGUGACCUCCGUCCGCUGGGCCUGUUCGUCGACAGCCGGGCAGCGCCCACUCCGAGGUUCUCCCUUCUCAGCCCCUGUACUCCGAGCUACCUUCUCCCUUCUCCCUACUCCGCCCCUGUCCACUUCCUCGUCCGACCAGGAGCACCUCCGCCGCGGCGGCCGGUCCCCGGUAAGCGCUAAAAAGAGACGACAGAAGAAUGAGGCCCCGCACGGCACCUUCUUGAGUGGGUGUGGUCGGUUCCUCCUCUGUACUACACACACUCCAUCUCCACCUAGUAACCUCCACUUCGUCCAGAGGAACUACACACGAAGUAGACUCAAAGUGCCCCAUGUAUUCGUUACCAACGUGGGGCGGUGUAGUGUAUGGUCUACGAAUCUAAUAUUCUUUCUCCUUAAAACAUUCAGUCCGUAGCUAACGAGUGGAAACUUCCAAUGUCUAAGUUCACGAUCCGAAAAUUCCUACUUCGUUUAGGGUUAGAUCUUUGUACACAUCACGUGGUAUAUAAACAGUGGUCUUUGCUUACACGUCCGCUGUUGGUAAACUAAUCACAAUAUAGGUUGAUUCAAAAUCCAGUCUUCCCCUCGGAACCGCGUCACCAUUUCGACGACGGAACACUGGUACUCCAGUACCCAAGUUCAGGACCUUUGUCGGAGAAUGUCUUUACAUCCCUUUCCGACGCAUGAUAUCUGGGUUUCACCAGCCUGGGAAGGGACCUGGGACGCGUUCGCCCUCGAUGUACGUGGUCCGUUACCGCCGUACCCACCUUACUCUCCUUCCUACCCUUAGUCGAUGAACGUAAGCGUGUCUCCUCCGUUGCAGCUGCGCUACCAUGUCGUCUCCUCCAACCCGAGCAACACCUCGAAGAACUCCGUCGUCCUGCAGCCGCUCUCGUAGCGACGGCCGUUGCCGAGUUGGCGAGCUCACUGGAGAACUCCUAGAAGAGGUACUCGUGGACCCUGCUGUGGUUGAGGUUGUAGUACAAGAGUCGCGGGCCGUCAUUCUUCCGGCUCCACGAGCCGCUGUUGCUACAGCCGUACCAGUGGUCGAAGUCGUUGUAGCCGAGGGUCUAAGUCAAUCGGGAGAGCUCGACAUGUACGGGUCGUACCUGCUGAUGGACGUCGACGUCGUCCUGAGGCGGCUGACGGCUCAGGUGCGGUUCGCACCGACAUGGUGACUGGGCGUCUCGUAACGAACCCUCCCUUUGUUCUUGUUCCUAGUUAUUCUCCGAUUCCUCCGACGUUCUGGAGUAAGGGAUGUACCUGUUCCAGUGUUCCACUGACACCCUACGAGCGAACUGGGGGACAGGUGUUACUUUUGGCCUCCUUGGAAGUGAAACAUAUAUACCACUACCUAUACCCCUGUAUAUUCUUGUGGAGGGAAGGCUUUUAGUUGAUCCCGUCUAUUCUUUUGGGUGGACUCUUAGAUAACAUAUGGUAUAAAAAAUCGGAGAAUUCAGAAUUGUACAGGUACAUGUACAACAUCAGAUAUAAAGCUAUAUCUUAUACAACAAUGUACGUUGACAAACUCAACCACCCGGUAACGACGACGGCUGAUUUUAAUGUUAUAAACAUUGAUUAUAAAAACCAACUGUAUAAUGAUCGUUUAACCUACAGUAUAGGGAUUUGAUCCUUAAGAAAGUAGUAACCUCCGAAAGUAGACGUAUAUGUUCUAUCGUCUUCUUCGUCCACUCACCGGAGACAAAACAAAGAAAUACUGUCACAGGAGAUGUAUUACCAACUUUGCCACAUAUCGGACUUCGUACACUACAAAGAAAGUCACAUAUAAACACUAAAUACCGCAAACUACACGUAUCCCGUCUUGGACUGUAGUGUAUGUCAUAAUCUCUCCUUACAAAAUUGUCAAUCACAAAGUUUCUAAAUAUGACAAAGUCGAUCGGUUACUUACAAACACCUCGAUGUCUAAACCAUAGUUUUCAUGUAUUAAACCCUUUAACCCAAAAAUCAAUUACACACAGUCCGUAGUUAUCAAAACUUUAUAAUGGUACAACGGCUUAUAUAGUAUGUUAAUAUCCACGUAAAUCAAGGGAUCUUGUAAACAAGAACUGAUGGGUCAUGGGUCAACUCUAUAGUGGUAAUCGCUUUGGUGUAACCUCCAUUAAGAUAAUUCAGCCUUUUCGAUAUACAAGGUCUUAAUAACAAAUUACUUCAUGAGUAAAACGAAAUAAGCAUAUUAUACAGAAGGACAAAACAGUAGCUGAAUUAUAAUAGGUAACUUUCAAGAGGAAAACAUUACGCUCACUGGCUGUCCUGUUUAUGGUAAUACGUAGUUCAUAUCAGCUUCAUCUUGAAACAGGACCAUAAUCACCUAAUGUACGAUUACACGUCUAUUGUACCAAGACUUCAGCUUUUAGUAACGGUGUUACAAUGUCUAAUCUCAAAGGUUUUAUUAUAAUAUGAGGGAGGCAGGCCUUUAUGAACAGCCUUUUUACCUACUUUUACCUAUAUAGAUGUUGAUUUAACGCAGAUUUAUGUAGGUAAGGAGGCUGUUCAUAAAAGCCUGCCUCCCUCAUCAUUAGUGUAGGUAAAGUAACCUACACUGCACUACAUAGGAUAUACGCCUCGGUACUUUCUUUACAUUGAUACCUUCAACAUCUAUUGUCAUAUGUCAACAAGCUCACGAGAGACCGAUUUGGACUACGGAAAACAUGUAGUUCCGAGACUUAAAAAAUUCCUAGUGUUGAAUGAAAGUUUCAUUGUUAUUAUAAACCUUUUAUAGUCUCCACUGUCUCUUGUUAAAUUAUCCUAUCACCGUUUAUUCCGGGUAAAGGAAUUCCAUAGUCGUGUAUUAUGAAAAGUGAUUAAACCGGUCAAUCGUUACGAGACCAAACACGGUCAGCCCUUAACUCUCGCAGUCAUCAGAGACGUAUUUAUUGGUAGUCUGACCUCCAGUUGUGACUCUCUCCCUGGCGUAUGUCAAAACAAGUUCGUAUGGGGAAGUUCAAUAUUAACGUUAUGUGAUACGACCUAUGUUUACUGGAAAGCUAAACUUGAUAAGUAUAACACAUUAAACUACUGGACCCGUCCUAGGUCCAAAGCCAACGAUCGUUGACAUUACUAGUCUUAGAAAAGAGAAAAACAUCCAUACGACCAGAACUACACCAAAACCUGACUUACAAAGAGUGAACCUCUUUACGAAAAACGAUCUUAGUUAUAUAAAAAGUCAGGGGUUGCUAAAAUAAGGAGUCGCGAGUUACCUGAAGAUAGUUAUAAAAGAAGGUUUGUUACAUAACUUAAAUGAUACUAAGUAACCUCAAUAAACUGUCUCUUUAUAAGAGACAUAUGACCUAUGUCAAUGAGUACUAUGCGGGAAAAUGAGGGAUCGCUGUUUAUGUGAGUAAAAAUCAAAAUACAUGGCGGUAACUGUAUAUAUAAAAGAAGGUUUGACACUCUGUAAUACAUUUACAUGUGACCUCUUACAUAAUACAUGUACAUAUAAUAAAGUUUACCCAGAGAUGCUUGUACCAUCGUUCAUAAAACACGAUAGUCUUAUCUUACACGCAUAUGUAGAGUAACAACUGUUGUUACGUGAUAUUAAUUCAAAGGGAAGAAAAUCGAAUAAACAACGAUGGACUCUAUCAUGGUUCAUACUAGAAACCAAACGGUACAUGCUGUGGCGCCUCAGUAAAAUAAUUCGACCGUAAUCAUUAAAACGUAAAAUGUAUCAAGUACACGUUCAAUUUGCAUACAGGUUAUUAAUGAUUAUAAUUCAAAUAUUACAACCGUGUCAGACAAUAACGGCAAUAGAAGAACCCUCAUGAACUCUUCCGCACCGACCCUUACACCCCUGUGCGGUACCGUCUCCGCGUACCAGCCGUCCUCCUCAGUCCCUCCGGACUUCCACCUGUACACCUACAAUAGCACCGUAACUGUGUAAAGCGAGGUGACUACGAUGUAUGGUCCCUACGCCACCACCACGUCCUAAGCAACCUUCGGUGUGUCGCGUGGGCUCUUCCUCUCCUCCUCUUACGAUACUCCUCUCCUUUACUAUUCAAAAUAACAAAACAAAAUUCUCGUUCCCUAAACUAUACAUCAGGGGACCGAAUAAACAUAAGAUGAUACACAUACCAGUUUCUUUAGUACUAAAAUAUGUGUGUAUAUAAAAAUUUGUUUUGGGAUACAUACAAAAAGAGUUUGUCACAGUAGCCUUUCGCGAGUAUAAAAGUUACGCAUGUACUAAAAUUUACCAAGAAACACUUCUACCAUCGUUUAUAAAACACGAUAGUUUAAUUUUACACACAUAUAUGUAGAGUAACAUCUGUUGUUAGUUAGUACAAAGAAUAAUUUCCAAUAACGUGGUACCUAUUAAAAAAGGAACACGUAUCCCUAAAUCUCACGGAGACGUAGUAAACCGCGUUGUUUAGGGGCAAAAGGGAUUGAUUCUCUAAUUCAAACAACAGUAUACACGAACGGGCAUUGUUUUAGUUGAUUUGAUACCUAAAUAAAAACAACGAUUGAACCUUAGUAGUCGUACGAUUGGUAUAAAAGCCAUAUCGUAAGAUGAUGUUUAUAGCUUAUCCAUAAGCGUUUUACGUUGAUAAAAGCAGCUGUUGUACCGAAAUCGCCUAGAAACGCGGUCAACCGCGUUUUAGUGUGGCCAGCCGCCGACUGCUUUGAAGAGAUAGUGGGUCGACUCCUUGGCUCUUUCUUUCCUUCAGAAACGACCGAGACGGG
rnacentral:rRNA from 1 species